rnacentral:rRNA from 1 species
UACGUAGGGGCGAGCGUUGUCCGGAAUGAUUGGGCGUAAAGGGCGCGUAGGCGGCCUAUCAAGUCAGUAGUGGAAGUCCAGCUUUCAAGGUUGGAAGUGCUAUUGAAACUGAGGGGCUUGAGUGCAGGAGAGGUUAUCGGAAUUCCCGGUGUAGCGGUGAAAUGCGUAGAGAUCGGGAGGAACACCAGUGGCGAAGGCGGGUAACUGGACUGCAACUGACGCUGAUGCGCGAAAGUGUGGGGAGCAAACAGGAUUAGAUACCCGCGUAGU